GUAGGUGGCAAGCGUUGUCCGGAAUUAUUGGGCGUAAAGCGCGCGCAGGCGGUUCUUUAAGUCUGAUGUGAAAGCCCACGGCUCAACCGUGGAGGGUCAUUGGAAACUGGAGAACUUGAGUACAGAAGAGGAAAGCGGAAUUCCACGUGUAGCGGUGAAAUGCGUAGAGAUGUGGAGGAACACCAGUGGCGAAGGCGGCUUUCUGGUCUGUAACUGACGCUGAGGCGCGAAAGCGUGGGGAGCAAACAGGGAUUAGAUACCCUGGUAGUCCACGCCGUAAACGAUGAGUGCUAAGUGUUAGGGGGUUUCCGCCCCCUUAGUGCUGCAGCUAACGCAUUAAGCACUCCGCCUGGGGGUUACGGCCGCAAGGCUG
rnacentral:rRNA from 1 species